rnacentral:snRNA from 1 species
GUGCUCGCUUCAUCAGUACAUAUAGUAAAAUUGGAAUGAUACAUGGGCCCUGCACAAGGAUAACAUGCAAGUGUGUGAAGCAUUCCAUUUAAAA